rnacentral:tRNA from 1 species
GGAAGUAUGAUGCCCAAAUAAAAGCCGCUAACUUUUUUUUUAAUGGUUUAAUUCCAUUAAUACUUCUA